AACCAUGGCUCACUGCAUCCUUGACCUUGGGGCUCAAGUGGUCCUUCCAUCUCAGCCUCCCAAGUAGCAGGGACUACAGAUAUAAGCCACUAUGCCUGGCAAAUGUUUGGUAGAGACAGGGUCUCACCAUGCUGCCAGGCUGAUCUUGAACCCCUGGGCUCAAGUGAUUCUCCCCGCUUGGCUUCCCAAAGUCCUGUGAUU
rnacentral:lncRNA from 1 species